UGGGGGUGGUGUCAAACGAAGAGCAUAAAUUGUAGCCCGAGUGUGAGCGCAGCACAGUGUGUGUGUGUCCGUGUGUGCGUGAACUGCUCAUCCCCUGCAUACCUGCUCCUUCCCUCUUCCUCUGGAUUUGUAUACAUAUAUGCCUCUGUGUUUAUAUAUGUAUAUUUGCAUUUUCAGCUUUUUCUUUAAAAAAAAAAAAACACAAUAUUUUUUUUUAGUGUUGCGUACUGUCAGAUGGAUUUUUGCAGGCUGAUAUAGCUUAUGGUACGGGGGAAUACUCCACUUUUUUUUAAUAAGGCUACAACAUCCCAGCUCCUGAUUUUCCCUCUUCUCUCAUCCUGCAUGCGUGAAACCUUCCUACCUGUCUACCUCUCCCCUGCCCCCUUCACCCCACCUAGAACAUCUCCCUGCAACCCAGCUCUCCAGCCUCAUGAAAGGAGCUUCUUCUGGGGCAGAGAGCUUCGGCAGGACCCCUGUUCAUCCCUGGAUGGAGAAUAGCAAGAACUGACGGAACUAAGAGAACGGAAAACCGGGAUAUACACUUCUCUACGGGGCUGUUUCUAUUUCCCCGCAAUAGAUCAAGAAUACAGGAAAAAGGAGCAAAAAAUAAUCCUUAAAGCAGUAGUUUUGCAGAAAUAGAUUAUGCUCCUGGGUACUUUUUUUGUAUGUGUUCUCAUGGUUAUGGCUGUAACUGAUGUGUUGGAACAUUACAACAUAUUUAUUUUCUAAAUACAUGUACAUUUUCUGUUGUGUAAUGUAUGCAUUUUUUUUUCUUCAAAUGUCAUCAUCAGCUUCAACUCUUUUGAUGUGAUUUUAACCCGAACUUGUUUUUACUUGCGGUAUAGGUGCAUGUAUGCCGUGAGAGAGUGACAGAAAUAAAAAAGACAGAGAGAGAGAGAAAGAGAGGUGGGGGGAGAGAGGGAAUAAGGAGGGAGAGAGAGAACAGACUGUCAUAAGGAAGCGUUAGCUUUACAUUGCGAUGCUGGCAGGCGUCUCAUGGCGGUGGAUGUGCUGAAUGGACGGAGGUGGAGAGCAGCGCAUAGCUUUGCAUCUUCACAUCUCACACACACAGCUUUGCUGGUCCUCUUUGUUUGGCAGAGAUGAGGGAAGGUCUGCUGGAAUGAAAAUGAAAGCAGGUGCCAGGGCUUCUUGCAGAAUGGUACAACAAAAGAGAAGAAUCACCGUCGACAAGGAGACAGACUGGACUGCAUCUGUCUUAAACAUACUGCAUCAAUGUUCUUCAAGACACGUGCCGACCCCCUCCCCACCUUCAUGUUGUCUGGGGAUCCCAUGAGGUUUAGGGUUCCCUGGGGAAAGAGGCUGAGGUCAGAGAAGGGCCCCUCAGGCGGCAUGAUAUAGACAGACGGGAGGUUGAGCCAUGUGCUGCAUCUUAUUCCCCCCCCAUACGCAAAACACCCCUAAUAUCAUCCAUACACACACACACACACACACAAAGUACCCCAAUAAAAAUACUAAUAUCGUUAAUGCGCUUGCACAGUUUAUGCAUCUUAGUACUAAAGGUGGUAGUGUUCUCCUGAACUGUCAUUAAUUAAAGAGUUCAGUGACCUCACUGACAAGACAACCCUUGACCAAUUACCCAAGCGCAAAAACCAUUGUCAUUGCCAAAGUAUAUCAAGUUUAAAAUAAUGCCAUAUUGUUCACUAAGUAUGAACUAAAAUAUCCAUUGUGUCUGAUAGUUUAAUCUCAUUAUUAUACAGAGUGAAAGAUUUGGUGAUAUAUGCUUAAAUACAAGGAUGUAUCCAAAGCCCUAUAUGUAUAAGUGAGACCGGGGCUAGUUUAAAGGCCAUAUCCAGUAAGUGCAAGUUUUUGAGCCAAAAGCCCAAUCACACAAAUAGUUGCUUUCUCUGGCAGUGCUUUCUGUGUUGAUUUCAAACACAUUUCUGGGGUCUGUCCUUCAAACUAAAAUUCCAGUAUCAUUAUAUUUUGGCUAUAAAUGUUUGGUAAACAACUGAACACAAUAAAAACACACUAGCAUACAAUCUGACAGCAGUCAGCUAUAUAGUUUUCAACAGGAAAACCGAACCAUGUUCUAAGGACAAGGGUAAUUUUCAUUAAUGUUUUUGAAUUAAUGAAUUUAUUCAUUGCAAUAGCAGUUGGCCCAAACAAUGUUUUGACAUGUUUGUACAACCUUUAGAUAUUUUUCAUGUGUCAUGGUAUGUUUAUGCUUCAUAAUUGUUUUAAUUUUAAAUUUGACAGAAAAUUCAGCAAAUCCAUUAAAUAGCCAAUAAUACAAGUAUUUAUUAUAAUAAGUCCCCAAUAAUACAACUGAUCAGUUACAAUAUUUGUGGGCCAAAACAAUGUUUUGAAUGUUUCCCUUCACAUUUUGCUGUUUCAAGAAUUGUUCUGUUUCAUAAUUGUUUGAAAUUUGCUGGAACGCCUAUGAUAGGGCGUUUAAUGUUAAGUUUCAUUAUGACAACUUUCCCUUUAUAAUGUGACAACACGCAGCGCUAUUAAGGCAUGUUGUCAAAACUUUUUAACCAACAUUUUAUGGUAUGCGCCUAUACAAAAAAUGACUUCCAAAAAUAAAACUAACCUACCCUAGGCCUAUUCACUGGAGUAAAAUGUGUGACAACUAGCCCCAAUUUCCACCCCCCAAAUGUUUUAAUGAGUUGCUGGACACUGAAAUAUUUUGUUUGAUGAUUGUGAUGUAAAGACAAGAAAUAAAGGUUUGUAUACAGACACAAACAUUGCACCUCUUUCUUUACCACAUUCCAAAGGAGAAGCCCUGUUCACAUUUCAAACAAUUAUGAGCUAAGCUUAUUUGGAUAGAUCUUUUGUUAAAAUAACCAGAAUAUAAAUUGACAGAUUCAAGAAAAAAUCCUUUUAAUUAAAAUAUCAAAUAAUAAUAAUAAUAAUAAUAAUAAAAAAAAAAUCAUAUUUGUCACAAGUGCGAGUACUCGUGUCUGUUUCAGUCAAUUCUAAGUGGGUCGUUUACACCAGUUUGGGCAUUUUGAAAACGCACGGAAAAUGAAGAUCUGCCGCCCCCUAAUGGACAAACAUCGUCACUUCCAUAUCGUGCCGCCAUUUUAUGAUUAAAUUCUUCAGAGUGGCAAACGUUUACGAACACCCACUAUGUCUUCAGGAUACUGACACGCAAUUUAGACGUGUAAUCCACCUAAUUUUCAACCAGCUUCAGUGAAUUUAGCAAUUUUCUACUACACACGAGCGUGUUUCACACUCAAGGAAAACCCGUACACGUUCUAAUGGCAAAGUGGCAAACAGCGCCACCGAGAGGCCGUAUUUAAAACGGCAGGAGUAAAGAAAUACAGCGUACCAAACAUGCCAUCAAAUAUUCAAUGCAACAAGAAUUAAAAAGGCAAAUGUAUUUCUUAGAUCAUAAUUACAUUUAAGGAAUUCAAUAAUUUCUUGAAAAUACCUAGGUGACAGACAAGGAGAAAACGCUCACUCCAAGUUGGCAAUUCCUGACAGAACUAAAUAAAACACCCCUAUGAAAAUAACGAGCAUUAGGUUGAACGCAAAACUACUUUAACUGUUCAUUUACGCCUUCAUUUAUCCUUGAGACCUGGCAACUGAACCAUUAGUGUUAUCGUUAAGCCGUAAGCCACAGGUUCAAUCGACAGUAUUUUUGUGGCAUCUGAUGAUUAUAAAAAAACGAGAUAACAGUGAGGCACUUACAAUGGAAGUGAAUGGGACCAGUUGUUUGAGGGUUUAAAAGGCAGACAUUAAGGUUUAUAAUUUUAUGAAAGCACUUACAUUAAUUCUUGUAAAUCUUGUGUAUUAUUUGAGCUGUAAAGUUUUAAGUCAUUUUAUCGAAGGUUUUCGCAAAUUUGCCACUCGUUUUCACAUGCAAAUUAUUUGCUUGUAAUUUGCCGCAAAUUAUUGCCAGAAGUGUGCAUUUAUUCACCUGUAGCAUUGAAUUGGCAGGAAACCUAAGGCAACAACUGACAAUUUGCCAUUACUGGCAAACACUUCUAUGGCAAACCUGUGGCAACAAUAUAAGUUUGCCACAGUGGUUUGCCAGAACUCUCGAUUUUAGUAAUGGAACUUUAUACAGAAAAAGUUUGCAAAUGAUAUUUCCUUGUGGCCAUACUUUUAAAACAGCAUUUUAACAUUUACAAAUUAGCCCCAUUCACUUCUAUUGUAAGCACCUCACUGUAAACCAGAUUUGUUUUUUUCCCCCAAAGAAGUCAAAAUGAACUUUAGCGGUAAACUACAUUAUGCCACAAAUGCUGUCAAUUAAGUUUAACUUGUAUUGAACCCAGAAUAUUCAUUUAACAAUUUUCUUUUUGUCAAUACAAUCUUCAGACAUUAGUUUAUUUGUUUCUUGUUAAGUUCCUUAAAGACCAAAACCUGACUUUUGUUUCGCAAAGUGACGUUACAUUAAAUGCUCUUGACAGACACUUCUUAACAAGAAAGCACAUAGUGUUUGUAGAAAUUAAGCAGACGGCCAAGGAUACAGUUAAGAUUAAAUCCAAAUCUUCAAAGUGCCAAUAAAAACAAUAUCGAUGCAAAAUAUUCAAGUUCAACCUCCAAAUUCUUCCAUUUCAACAGCUUUAAGUUCACCAUAAAGCAAACACACUUCAAACUUUGUGCAGCAUCUUUAUUCUGACACUGCUAAAUGCCAGCAGUUUUUGCAGGACUCGUUUAAUGCACCGAUAUGAACAUAGCAGAAGGAGGGUUGAAGGUGUGCAGGCAGCUAGUGUAGGACAGGAGUCAGGAGUGUGGGUGCUGGGUCAAUGGGGGCCAGGCAGUUUGGGACACGGGUUAGUGCAUGAAAGUUUUUUGUCAAAUAAGGGGAAAUGCAUCACACAAGUUUUGCAGAGUAUAUCACAUUUAUUUUUAAUGAACUGAUUAUGCGAAAGAGAGGGUCCAAGGCCCAUCUCAAUGUAGACGGAAGAAAAAGAUAAAAAAAAAAAUAAAAAAAAAAAAGACGAGGACAGCAGCCCAUUGCAAAAAAAAAAAAAAAAAAAAAAAAAAAAGUUUAACUUGCAUAAGAAAAAGGAGUAAAUGAAAAAUAAGCUGACAACUCUCAAACACAGCCCCUUUUGUACACUAUAAAACUGAUCCAACGACCAAAGCUUUAACUCAAAUCUGCUUCUCCACUUAUCCCCUUUUACAAACACAAAAACGGGAACACAGAGGAAGAAAAAAAAAAAAAACAA